UCGAAUAACUGAGAGAAAAUAAUUUUCUGACAAUCAGAUAUUCAUAUGUUCUUCAUUUUUUCUGUAUGUUCUUAAAUAGCUGGUUAAAAAUUAUUGAUUAUUAGGAGGUUAUCCAUGGAAGUAAUACUUAAAAAUGAAACUUGAAAACGAUUUGUUUCAAAGGCGAGGAGAACGGAUCUGAUCGAUUAUCUGUAAUCACGAUUAAUGUUUACAUGCCAUACCGAUUGUUACGAUGCGAGCAUGUCAGCGAAAGUGACGUCAGAAGCACGAGGAUGCGUCAGUUGAAAAUUACCAGGAAUAACUCCAGCAGUUCCGGCUUCAUCAGACCAAAGUACACCAUCUGCAAAAAAUUUCUUUUCGUCAGGUAAAAAAUUUUGUUUUGCGAGAUAAAGAUUUUUUGCGCAAUCUGGUGAACAAUGGCGGAGUAAAGAGAAUAAAAUG